GUGGGGAAUUUUGGACAAUGGGCGCAAGCCUGAUCCAGCAAUGCCGCGUGUGUGAAGAAGGCCUUCGGGUUGUAAAGCACUUUUGGCAGGAAAGAAAUAGUGCGUGCUAAUACCAUGCGCGAAUGACGGUACCUGCAGAAUAAGCACCGGCUAACUACGUGCCAGCAGCCGCGGUAAGACGUAGGGUGCAAGCGUUAAUCGGAAUUACUGGGCGUAAAGCGUGCGCAGGCGGUUUUGUAAGACAGGUGUGAAAUCCCCGGGCUCAACCUGGGAACUGCACUUGGGACUGCAAGGCUAGAGUGUGUCAGAGGGAGGUGGAAUUCCGCGUGUAGCAGUGAAAUGCGUAGAGAUGCGGAGGAACACCGAUGGCGAAGGCAGCCUCCUGGGAUAACACUGACGCUCAGGCACGAAAGCGUGGGGAGCAAACAGGAUUAGAAACCCUGGUAGUCC
rnacentral:rRNA from 1 species